rnacentral:lncRNA from 1 species
AGAUAAUUACUUCCUUUUGUAAGGUUAUAUUAAUCUUUUGUGUAUGUGUGUAUGUUUUUAUUUAGAGCACAGUAGAAAGUGCAAAGCAUUUCCUAGAGAAAUGUACACCAGGAAAAUGGAACAUCCAGUAUAACCAUCUUAGCCUCAAGACCCCUGUUCCAAGCAAAGCUCAUUGGUUACCUGGCUAAAGAAAUUGGCUUGCUCUCUGAAGAAGUGGAAAUGUAUGGUCAGACAAAAGCCAAGGUUCUGCUGUCUACCUUAGAACACCUGAAACACCAGCCUGAUGGAAAAUAUGUGGUCGUAACGGGAAUAACCCCUACACCUCUGGGAGAAGGAAGAGUACAACCACACUAG